rnacentral:sRNA from 1 species
AUUAUUGCUUCCACAUUUUGAUGGUUUUAGCCUCUUCUAGGAGAAAAUGGGUAUAAGUGUUGUUAAAACACUCCUAAUGUAUCUCUAACUCAUAUAAUUAAUCAAAUGCUUUGGAUUGUGACAAAUUUUGACCAUAACAACACUAACAAAGCUAUAUACUGUUUCUAAGCAAUUUUUUGUUGGUUUUAGCCUCUUUUGGGACAAAAUGGGUAACUGUUUUCUAAACACUACUAAUCCAUCUUUAACUCGCCUCAUUAGUCAAAUGCAUUGGAUUCUGACACAUAUUAACCAUCGAAACACUAACAAACCUAUUGACUGCUUCUAAGCAAUGUUUUGUUGGUUUUAGCCUCUUUUGGGACAAAAUGGGUAAGUGUUUUCUAAACACUCCUAAUCCAUCUUUAACUUGCCUAAUUAGUCAAAUGCAUUGGAUUGUGACACAUUUUAACCAUCGAAACACUAACAAACCUAUUGAUUGCUUCUAAGCAAUAUUUUGUUGGUUUUAGCCUCUUUUGGGAGAAAAUGAGUGUAAAUGUUGUCUGAAUACUCCUAAUAAAUCUCUACCUUUUAUAAUUAGUCUAAUACAUUGGAUUCUGACACAUAUUAACCAUAGAAACACUAAGAAAGCUAUUAACUGAUUUUAAGCAAUUUUUUGUUGGUUUUACCCUCUUUUGGGAGAAAAUGGUUAUAAGUGUUGUCUAAACAUUCAUACUCCAUCUAUAACUCUUAAAAUUAGUCAAAUACAUUAGAUUGUGACACAAUUUGUCCAUAGAAACACUAACAAGGCUACUGACUACUUCUCAGCAAUUUUUAAUUGGUUUUAGCCUCUUUUUAGAGAAAUAGGUGUAAGUGUUGUCUGAAAACUCCUAAUCAAUCUCUAACUCUUAUAAUUAGUCAAAUGCAUUGGAUUGUAACACAUUUUGACCAUAGAAACACUAACAAACCUGUUUACUGGUUCUAAGCAAUUUUUCGUUGGUUUUAACCUCUUUUUGGAGAAAAUGGGUAUAAGUGUUGUCCAAACACUCCUAAUUCAUCUCUAACUCUUCUAACUAGUAAAAUGCAUUGGAUUUUGACAUAUUUUAACCAUAGAAAUACUAAUAAAGCUAUUGA